CCAAUAGCGUAUAUUAAAGUUGUUGCAGUUAAAAAGCUCGUAGUUGAAUUUCGGGAUCAGUUCGCUGGUCGUGCCUCUGGUAUGUACUGGUGUUACUGGUUCCUCCCUUCUGACGAACUGUCAUGUCAUUUAUUUGGUGUGGCAGGGAAUCAGGACUGUUACUUUGAAAAAAUUAGAGUGUUUAAAGCAGGCUCGCGCUUGAAUACAUUAGCAUGGAAUAAUGAAAUAGGACGUUCGAUCCUAUUUUGUUGGUUUCUAGGAUUGACGUAAUGAUUAAUAGGGAUAGUUGGGGGCAUUAGUAUUCAAUUGUCAGAGGUGAAAUUCUUGGAUUUAUUGAAGACUAACUACUGCGAAAGCAUUUGCCAAGGAUGUUUUCAUUAAUCAAGAACGAAAGUUAGGGGAUCGAAGACGAUCAGAUACCGUCGUAGUCUUAACCAUAAACUAUGCCGACUAGGGAUCGGAUGAUGUUAUUUUUAAUGACUCAUUCGGCGCCUUAC
rnacentral:rRNA from 1 species